GCGAGUGUAGCUCAGCUGGUAGAGCGCGACCUUGCCAAGGUCGAGGUCACGAGUUCGAGCCUCGUUACUCGCU
rnacentral:tRNA from 1 species